rnacentral:rRNA from 1 species
CCCUUAGAUGUCCGGGGCCGCACGCGCGCUACAAUGGGUGAAUCAACGCGUCAUCCUGGCCCGAAAGGGUUGGGGAACCGCUGAACCUCAUCCGUGGUUGGGAUUGGGGUUUGUAAUUAUUCCCCAUGAACUAGGAAUUCCCAGUAAGCGCGAGUCAUAAGCUCGCGUUGAUUACGUCCCUGCCCUUUGUACACACCGCCCGUCGCUACUACCGAUUGGAUGGUUUAGUGAGAUCCUCGGAUUGGUCACGGCACGGUGGCAACACUGCGUCGGUGUGCCGAGAAGACGAUCAAACUUGAUCAUCUAGAGGAAGUAAAAGUCGUAACA